AGGGUGGGUUUACUAUGGGUUUUAAUCCUAUCCUAUGCGCCAGUUUUCACGGGGUUUUCUCCGGUUCUACUGUUGACGUAUGAAAUUAUGAGGUAGAAGAUUUGAUUGCUUUAUUAAUAGGUAAAUAUUUCUUCGGCCACCAUAUGCAUAAUGCAUCGAUCCGUUUGAGUAGUUGUUUGCAUGGUGUCCAGCUCAACUGCACGUUUCAUGCAUUCUUUUCCUUGGAUUACCUAUUUGUAGCAUGAGAAAAAUGAACACUCACAUCUAACGUCUCGUCUAAUCACAUAACUAUCACAAGACUAUUGAUCUUUAUUAUUCAUUUUUAUCACGCACAUUGUACACUGUUGAAUAGUCGUGACAAGAUCAUGGAUGUGGAUAGCUCCGAACCUCCUCUUGUAGGAUGUAUGGAAAGAAUGGAGUGGAAAAGUUUGGAGGCCGCCGGCUUUUUUCUGAUUUUCAACUGAGCGCCGGCUCAAGGUGGAGGCCGGUGUUUUUCUUCCUGGGCGCCUGUUCAAGCGGGAGGAGGGUGGGUUUGCUAUGGGUUUUGAUCCUAUCCUAUGCGCCAGUUUUCACGGGGUUUUCUCCGGUUCUACUGUUGACGUAUGAAAUUAUGAGGUAGAAGAUUUGUUUGCUUUAUUAAUAGGUAAAUAUUUCUUCGGCCACCAUAUGCAUAAUGCAUCUAUCCGUUGGAGUAGUUGUUUGCAUAGUGUCCAUCUCAACUGCACCUUUCAUGCAUUUUUUUCCUUGGAUUAGUUGUGUGUAGCGUGAGAAAAAUGAACAAUCACAUCUAACAUCUCGUCUAAUCACAUAACUAUCACAAGAUUGCUGAUCAUUAUUAUUCGUUUAUUAUCACGCACAUUGUACACUAUUUAAUGGUCGUGAUAAAUCGUGGAUAUGAAUAGCUCCGAACCUCCUCAUGUAGGAUGUAUGGAAAGAAUGGAGUGGAAAAGUUUGGAGGCCGCCGGCUUUUUUCUAAUUUCAACCGAGCGCUGGUUCAAGGUGGAGGCCGGUAUUUUUGUUCCUGGGGCCUGUUCAAGCGGGAGGAGGGUGGGUUUACUAUGGGUUUUGAUCCUAUCCUAUGCGUCAGUUUUCACGGGGUUUUCUCCGGUUCUACUGUUGAUGUAUGAAAUUAUGAGGUAGAAGAUUUGAUUACUUUAUUGAUAGGUAAAUAUUUCUUCAACCACCAUAUGCAUAAUGCAUCGAGCCGUUGAAGUAGUUGUUUGUAUGGUGUCCUGCUCAACUGCACCUUUCAUGCAUUUUUUUCCUUGGAUUAGUUGUUUGUAGCAUGAGAAAAAUGAACACACAUCUAACAUCUCAUCUAAUCACAUAAUUAUCAUAAGACUGUUGAUCUUACACUGUACAAUGUUAAUAGUCGUGACAAGAUCAUAAAUGUGGAUAGCUCCGAAGCUGCUGGUGUAGAAUGCAUGGGAAAAAAAUAGAGUAAAAAGAUUUUACAACGCAUUAGCAUGUUAUUAUGUUUCACCGAGAGGAGUGGGUUUGCUCGAGUAGUGACUUAAAGCGGACAUUUUUAACCUAAAUAAAGUGUUGUCUUCGCCUUCUCUUAUUUCAAGCAACUUAUGCUCGCUAGCCAAACGGGGUUACGGAACAGGACGCGAUAGAAAUUUUCUAUCUUAUUAACUGAUUAUUAGAUAAUGAUGAUCUUUGUUUUUUUCCUUUAUUUCUUAGAAUAGUAUAUUCUCAUGUAGAAAGUAUAAAAGAUGAAGCGGUUUUUUAUGGCUUUGUAAUGUACCAUGGAAAUUUAAAAUAACCUACAUUUUAUAAGGUGAGGUUAUGGAAGACACCAUGUAAAUUUUCUAUCCCAACUGAUUAGAUAAUGAUGGCUUUUAGUUUUAUAAUAUCCAGCUGAACAGUUCACUUUAUGCCUUGGCGAAGUCGAAUGGUCGCAGUAAACGAACUGUUAGUUGGUUAAAGCAUGAACACGAUACGAUUCGUAGACGCAGGUGAGCUGAAGCACCGACGCGACGGUUCUUGGCUUCUUGCAUCAAAGGCCAUGUUUAGUUACUCCCAACUCCCAACUUUGACACUAUGCAAAAAGAAGAUUCCCCAUCACAUCAAACUUGCGGUACAUGCAUGGAGUACUAAAUGUAGAUGAAAUUAAAAACUAAUUGCACAGUUUUGUUGUACUUUGCGAGACGAAUCUUUUGAGCCUAAUUAGUCAAUAUUUGGACAAUAAUUCACAAAUACAAACGAAACGCUACAGUGUGCUACAGUGCUGUAACAGUAAUUUGGCACCUCCCAAAUUCCCCAACUAAACAAGGCCAAAGAAUCCUAGUGUCUCGGCUAAACAGUACAGUACAGUACUGUGCAUUAUUUCUUCGGCCACCAUAUGCAUAAUGAAUGCACCGAUGUGUGUGCGUGGGGGGAGGGUUGUACAAUGAUGCAACCGCCAUGCACUGCGGAAUUGAAUUGAGCCUGCAGUUUUUAUUCACUCGUCAUUUCUCCUCCUUUACUCCCGCCUGUUCUUUCCAGCGCAACAAACAGCCUUUGCUGGGGACCCUCAAUAGGCAGGAAGCUUCCAGAACCGUGCCGAGCAGCAGGCACAUUCAAGGCC
rnacentral:lncRNA from 1 species